AGAGUUUGAUCAUGGCUCAGGACGAACGCUGGCGGCGUGCUUAACACAUGCAAGUCGAGCGAACCUUCGGGUUAGCGGCGAACGGGUGAGUAACACGUGGGCAACCUGCCCCGAGCUCUGGGAUAACCCCGGGAAACCGGGGCUAAUACCGGAUACGACACCAACAGACAUCUGUUGGUGUGGAAAGUUUUUCGGCUCGGGAUGGGCCCGCGGCCUAUCAGCUUGUUGGUGGGGUAACGGCCUACCAAGGCGACGACGGGUAGCCGGCCUGAGAGGGCGACCGGCCACACUGGGACUGAGACACGGCCCAGACUCCUACGGGAGGCAGCAGUGGGGAAUAUUGCGCAAUGGGCGAAAGCCUGACGCAGCGACGCCGCGUGAGGGAUGAAGGCCUUCGGGUUGUAAACCUCUUUCAGCAGGGACGAAGCGAAAGUGACGGUACCUGCAGAAGAAGCACCGGCCAACUACGUGCCAGCAGCCGCGGUAAUACGUAGGGUGCAAGCGUUGUCCGGAAUUAUUGGGCGUAAAGAGCUCGUAGGCGGUCUGUCACGUCGGCUGUGAAAACUCGGGGCUCAACCCCGAGCCUGCAGUCGAUACGGGCAGACUAGAGUCCGGCAGGGGAGACUGGAAUUCCUGGUGUAGCGGUGAAAUGCGCAGAUAUCAGGAGGAACACCGGUGGCGAAGGCGGGUCUCUGGGCCGGAACUGACGCUGAGGAGCGAAAGCGUGGGGAGCGAACAGGAUUAGAUACCCUAGUAGUCC
rnacentral:rRNA from 1 species